rnacentral:rRNA from 1 species
GGUAGAGGUAAUGGCUCCCCAAGGCCGAUGGAUCGGUAGGGGACACUGAGAGGGUGGAUCCCCCACAAUUGGAACUGAGACACGGUCCAGACUCCUACGGGAGGCAGCAGUAGGGAAUAUUAGUCAUGGGGGAAAGCCUGAACCAGCAACGCCCGCGUGAAGGAGGAAGCCUUUGGAGUGUAAAGCAUUUUUGGGGAGGAUGAGGAAGGACGGUACUUUCAGAACAAGCCACGGCUAACUACGUGCCAGCAGCCGCGGUAAUACGUAGGAGGCGAACGUUAUCCGGAUUUACUGGGCGUAAAGGGCGUGCAGGCGGCCCGUAAAUUCAGAUGGAAAAGUUCAAGGUCAAACUGGAGCAGGUCAUCUAAAACUCCAAGCUAGAGGAUCAGAGGGGAAAGGGAAAUUCCUAGGUAGCGGGUAAAAUGCACAGAGUUUAGGAGAACACCAGUGGGCGAAGCGGCCUCCUGGGCCACAACUGACACUCAGGCGCGAAAGCUAGGGGAGCAAACGGGAUUAGAUACCCCGGUAGUCCAAGCCGUAAACGAUGUUGACUGGGCGUAGGGAGUAUAAACUCCAUCUGUGUCGCAGCAAACGC